AUUUUGGACAAUGGGGGAAACCCUGAUCCAGCCAUGCCGCGCGUGUUAAGAAGGCAUUNAGGUUGNANAGCACUUUAAGCGCGGANGGGGCUACUCUAGUUAAUACCUAGGGAUAGUGGACGUUACUCGCAGAAUAAGCACCGUCUAACUCUGUGCCAUCAGCCGCGGUAAUACAGUGGGUGCAAGCGUUAAUCGGAUUUACUGGGCGUAAAGCGCGCGUAGGUGGCCAAUUAAGUCAAAUGUGAAAUCACCGAGCUUAGCUUGGGAAUUGCACUGGAUACCGGUUGGGUAGAGUAUAGGAGAGGAUGGUAGAAUUCCAGGUGUAGCGGUGAAAUGCGUAGAGAUCUGGAGGAAUACCGAUGGCGAAGGCAGCGAUCUGGCCUAAUACUGACACUGAGGUGCGAAAGCAUGGGGAGCAAACA
rnacentral:rRNA from 1 species